AUUGAACGCUGGCGGCAUGCUUUACACAUGCCAGUCGAACGGCAGCGCGGGCUUCGGCCUGGCGGCGAGUGGCGAACGGGUGUGUAAUUCAUCGGAACGUGCCCAGUAGUGGGGGAUAGCCCGGCGAAAGCCGGAUUAAUACCGCAUACGACCUGAGGGUGAAAGCGGGGGACCGAAAGGCCUCGCGCUAUUGGAGCCGCCGAUGUCGGGUUAGCUAGUUGGUGGGGUAAAGGCUUACCAAGGCGACGAUCCGUAGCUGGUCUGAGAGGACGACCAGCCACACUGGGACUGAGACACGGCCCAGACUCCUACGGGAGGCAGCAGUGGGGAAUUUUGGACAAUGGGGGCAACCCUGAUCCAGCCAUGCCGCGUGCGGGAAGAAGGCCUUCGGGUUGUAAACCGCUUUUGUUCGGGAAGAAAUCCUCUGGGCUAAUACCCCGGGGGGAUGACGGUACCGGAAGAAUAAGCACCGGCUAACUACGUG
rnacentral:rRNA from 1 species